AUUGAACGCUGGCGGCAUGCCUUACACAUGCAAGUCGAACGGCAGCAUGGAGAGCUUGCUCUCUGAUGGCGAGUGGCGAACGGGUGAGUAAAGCAUCGGAACGUACCGUGUAGUGGGGGAUAACGUAGCGAAAGUUACGCUAAUACCGCAUACGCACUGAGGUGGAAAGCAGGGGAUCGCAAGACCUUGCGCUAUACGACCGGCCGGGGGCAGAUUAGCAAGGUGGUAGGGUAAAGGCCUACCAAGGCCACGAUCUGUAGCGGGUCUGAGAGGAUGAUCGGCCACACUGGGACUGAGACACGGCCCAGACUCCUCCGGGAGGCAGAAGUGGGGAAUUUUGGACAAUGGGGGAAACCCUGAUCCAGCCAUGCCGCGUGAGUGAAGAAGGCCUUCGGGUUGUAAAGCUCUUUCGGCUGGGAAGAAAUCGCACAGGCUAAUACUCUGUGUGGAUGACGGUACCAGCAUAAGAAGCACCGGCUAACUACGUGCCAGCAGCCGCCGUAA
rnacentral:rRNA from 1 species